rnacentral:rRNA from 1 species
UACGGAGGGAGCUAGCGUUGUUCGGAAAUACUGGGCGUAAAGCGCACGUAGGCGGCUUUGUAAGUCGGGGGGUGAAAGCCUGUGGCUCAACCACAGAAUUGCCUUCGAUACUGUAGAGCUUGAGACCGGAAGAGGUAAGUGGAACUGCGAGUGUAGAGGUGAAAUUCGUAGAUAUUCGCAAGAACACCAGUGGCGAAGGCGGCUUACUGGUCCGGUACUGACGCUGAGGUGCGAAAGCGUGGGGAGCAAACAGG